UGGGGAAUAUUGGACAAUGGGCGAAAGCCUGAUCCAGCCAUGCCGCGUGUGUGAAGAAGGUCUUCGGAUUGUAAAGCACUUUAAGUUGGGAGGAAGGGUUGUAGAUUAAUACUCUGCAAUUUUGACGUUACCGACAGAAUAAGCACCGGCUAACUCUGUGCCAGCAGCCGCGGUAAUACAGAGGGUGCAAGCGUUAAUCGGAAUUACUGGGCGUAAAGCGCGCGUAGGUGGUUAGUUAAAUUGGAUGUGAAAUCCCCGGGCUCAACCUGGGAACUGCAUUCAAAACUGACUGACUAGAGUAUGGUAGAGGGUGGUGGAAUUUCCUGUGUAGCGGUGAAAUGCGUAGAUAUAGGAAGGAACACCAGUGGCGAAGGCGACCACCUGGACUGAUACUGACACUGAGGUGCGAAAGCGUGGGGAGCAAACA
rnacentral:rRNA from 1 species